AUAAGAGUUAGUGCCCCUCUCAGGAAAGUAGCAACUUAGAAUAAAACCUGGCAUGCCUAAGGUCUUUGGGGGACAGGGGAUGCUUAUUUCCUCUACCUUCCUUUAGCUGCCAUGU